UGCCAGACUCCUACGGGAGGCAGCAGUGGGGGAUAUUGCACAAUGGGGGGAACCCUGAUGCAGCGACGCCGCGUGGGUGAAGGAGUAUUUCGGUAUGUAAAGCCCUCUCGGCAGGGAAGAAGCAAGACGGUACCUGACUAAGAAGCCCCGGCUAACUACGUGCCAGCAGCCGCGGUAAUACGUAGGGGGCGAGCGUUAUCCGGAUUCACUGGGUGUAAAGGGAGCGUAGACGGCGGUGCAAGCCAGAUGUGAAAGCCCGGGGCUCAACCCCGGGACUGCAUUUGGAACUGUGCUGCUAGAGUGUCGGAGAGGCAGGCGGAAUUCCUAGUGUAGCGGUGAAAUGCGUAGAUAUUAGGAGGAACACCAGUGGCGAAGGCGGCCUGCUGGACGAUGACUGACGUUGAGGCUCGAAAGCGUGGGGAGCAAACAGGAUUAGAUACCCGUGUA
rnacentral:rRNA from 1 species